GUGAGCGCGGCUCCGACAUCGUUAACCCUCCGAGCUACACUGACCUCCGGUGUUCACUUGAUUUCGUCAUGUUGUGGAGCGUUUGAGACCGGCCCCGGCUGUCCGAGAACUGAAUUAGAGCUAAACUCCGAAUGUGAACCGACAGCAUAAGAGGAGGCGUGAGGCACCGGGGGUGUGGUGAGCACGGGGAAGAAAAACGAGUGCAACUAUGCCAGGACAAAGGAGCCACAAACUGAGGAGCAAGAUAGAAUCUGCUCUUUUAAACAGAAGCCCGUCACUUGAUUCCUCACAACAUCGUUGCCCCGCCAUAUUGUGGAACAAGAGGAAGUUUAAAUGUUGGAAGGGAGUUAGGAAUCUAUUGAGUCUGCAGGGUGCUUUGACGGUGGAGAAG